UGUGUUUCCUGUCUCUCUCUGCCCCUACCCUUCUUGCACUCUAACUUCAAAGUUCUUUUCAACUUUCCCUUACGGUACUUGUUGACUAUCGGUCUCGUGCCGGUAUUUAGCCUUAGAUGGAGUUUACCACCCGCUUUGGGCUGCAUUCCCAAGCAACCCGACUCCGGGAAGACCCGGGCCCGGCGCGCCGGGGGCCGCUACCGGCCUCACACCGUCCACGGGCUGGGCCUCGAUCAGAAGGACUUGGGCCCCCCACGAGCGGCGCCGGGGAGUGGGUCUUCCGUACGCCACAUUUCCCGCGCCCCACCGCGGGGCGGGGAUUCGGCGCUGGGCUCUUCCCUGUUCACUCGCCGUUACUGAGGGAAUCCUCGUUAGUUUCUUUUCCUCCGCUGACUAAUAUGCUUAAAUUCAGCGGGUCGCCACGUCUGAU